AUCAAGGCUUUCUAGUAUUCCCCCUUUUGUUAGGACCAAAUCCACGUUGGAUUUGGUCCCUUUUU
rnacentral:sRNA from 14 species